AAGUCAAUAACAAGGGUCUCCGGUAGGUGAACCUGCGGAGGGAUCCAAUUGACAGAGGGUUCAGUCCCUAACGGGUAGAUCUCCCACCCUAUGUUAUUAUUACUUUGUUGCUUUGGCGGGCCGUCAGGCUCACGCCCGGCUACCGGCUCACGCUGGUAAGCGCCCGCCAGAGAACCCCAAACCCUGAAUAUUAGUGUCGUCUGAGUACUAUAUAAUAGUUAAAA
rnacentral:misc_RNA from 1 species